UAUUAUUUUUUAUUAUAAUAAAGUUCAAUUAGCUUCUUAAACCAAGUCCAAAUUGAAGAGAAAUAGAGAAGGAUCAAGAGAGUGAAAAAGGAGAGAGAAAAGAGAGAGGAAAUCCUCUUGGGUAAAGGAGAAAAUGGUGAGAUACAAGCAAAUAUUUGUAGUUUUGCAAGGAAGGAGUUCCAAUGGACGACAAAUUUCGACGUAGUCUUCUCUUUGUUUGAUUUUUCUCACUAGAGAUGGCAGUGCCGGCUUGUUUUAGAUUUUUUUUUUUCCUGUUAUUUUUACUUUGAAGGUCUGAAAUGAUUUUUUUGUGAAGGAGGACUGGUUUUUUGGACUUGAUGGGGUUGAUGGCUCACUUUCGACUGCUGAGGAUUGCUGUGACCCCGGUAUCUUAGGAUCGCCCCACUACAUCCGGAGUUCACGCUCUCGUUGGGCUCGGCGGCGUCUCCUUCUCGCACACCAUGGUUUGAUAUGGGUUGCCUUUAAUAUGUCUUAUUCCUGAAGUUUUCAGAGGUGGCUUGCAUGGCUAGUUUGUGCUCGAAGGUUGUUGUUAGCAUUGUUGGUUCUGGUGCUGCCCGUCCAGGUGAUUGUCAAUCUGUUUUCAUCGGCGAUACCGUAGCGUAGAUUGCUUUGAUCGGUGAUGAUGACGACGAUUCCUAGCGGUGCACCUGUGUAUCAGUUUCAAGCGGUGCCUCAUUUUCAUGUGAAUGGUUUGGAUUGGAUUGGGCUGAAUGGUUUGGGUUGCGCUGAGUCAUGAUUUUGAGUUAUCUAUGAGUAUGAAGAAGGUUUCCCAGUACUUUUUGGAACGAAUUCUGACUUCGUAAAUAUUGGGUUGUUGUCCAAGCUCACUGGGCUUUUUGGCUUGGAGAAGAUGCAAAUAGUGGUCGAUGGUAUUUGAAGUGAAGACCGUGGUGGGUUCAUUUCAGGUUUUAUUAUUUCUUCUUUUUUUUUUUUUUUUUUUUUUUUUUUUUUUUUUUUGAUGUUUACUCAUUCUGUUUGGUGUUUGAUUUCAUUUGAAAUUUGUGGAAUGAGUUAAAUUAGCGGGAAGGAUAUUUUUCCCUUUACUUUUCUUGAUAAAUUUGCUUUGGACUAUGGCAUAACUUGUGAAGGGAUCAGAUGAGCUUACAUGGUUUGUUUCCCAUUGAUUGGAUGAAAUGACUGCUUUGGUUAUAGACUUUUUCUGGUGGUAUAUUUGGGAUCAGAGGUUUUAACCUCGUUAUUUCACUCAUUGGUGUUUACUAAUGAAUGAUAAUAUACAUAAAUAAUUGUUGAUAAUGAUUAUUCAUGUUUACUAUGAUGGCUAAGUUGACUAAAAGAUAUGGACUGAAUAACUCGUAAAAUGGAAAAUUUAUAUAGUGGAAACAUAGAACUUCCGGCUACAAGCGUAAAAGAUCGCAUCUUGAAAGCUGAUUUUCUCUUUGAGCUGUUUGAUGGUUAUAACAUUCAAAUCACCCUCCUAGGAGUCUAGUACAAUUUCCCAGGGAUCGGCUUGGUGAUGGCCUGUGUAGUUUUUCAAGGACACAUGAUAUAUAAAGUUGCUAAAUUAAAUGUUGAUGCAGUAAGUGAAAUAUAAACGAGGAUUUGAGCAGUUAUUAAUAAACGUUGAGAUGCUUGUGACAUGGAUACUGGAGUUGGUGAAUUGUGGAGGAAGGGAGAGAGCUCUAUUUGGCUGCUAUGACAUCUAAAGUGCAUUAGUACAUUUCACCUUCUAUGGAAUCUAUAAGAGAUUAAGUGAAAAAAAUAGUGGCAAGUUCGUAGUAAACAUGUAAAUUUUUUUGAAAAGAAACAUUUGUGGUUUUAUUAUCGCAUUAAAGAAGUCACAACAAAAGGAGGUCGAUUAACGUACCAAACUCCCAAGCCUGACUCGGAAUGGAUACCCGUUGCUAACAAAUGGGCAACCACAUUCGCAGACUUAUAGCUAAAACAACAUUUAACAUCAACGAUCUCACUUAAAAGACAUGUAAAUAAACCCACCUACAUGUGUGAAAUAGACCUCCCUUAUCUGCUGUGUGUCUGAGCAUUCACAGAGUUGAGUAACAUAAAUAAUUUUACGUUGGAUAGAGGAAGUGGAGGAUAUACAGUUAACUGCGGGUUUGGAGUCUAACUUACCACUGCAUUAGACAUGUAUCACAGAAUUUUAUGUGAUGCAGUAAUGACUCUUUGGAAGAUCAAUUAAGGCAUCAGUUGGUUAACUUGUUAAGGAGUGCAUCCUUGCCUUUUGGUUAUUGUAAAAGAAAAGGAAAAUGAAAAAUGAAGAUGAAAUAGCAGCAAGCUAAGUAGAUGUACAAUUAUUUAAGAAUAAAUGAGUAACUCAUGCCUCAAAUUCCCCUAGGAAGAAGUUUUGAAUAUGAAGUGUAUUACAGUACCACAUUAGUGCUUCUUUUUUUUUUUUUAUCUUCUGAGAUAUUUAAAAUUUUACAAACAUGCAUGAAAAGCUGAAUGCUACCAGACCCUAUGUUAGUUAGUGAUGUGGGGGUACCAAGUGCUCUACCCAAAUCAACAACCAAAAAAAAGUGGAAAAAUGGAUCUAUAUUUAGAUUGGCACUUUAAAUGAAAUUUGUGAAGUCAUUUGGAAUUUUCACUUUUGUUCAUUAUUCGGAAAAUGUCAAGCAACAUAUUCAGAAGCUUUCAAUCAAUACCUAUCUUGAUAUUGCGCAUGUCGUUCAUUAGUACAAUUUCUAGGCUGAAAACCAUUACUAGUCGAGUUGUUUGCCAGCUAGAUAAUCUUUUAGCUUGUCAGUUGCAUAAUAUAUCAGUUGCAUACUUAUGUUGAUUGUCUCAAUAGCUUAUGUAGUUGCGUUGCAAUUUGAAUAGCUUUUUACCCAGUGUUAAAUCAUAUUAGUCACCCGUGGAAUUAUUGAUUCAGAGUGCUGUUCUUUUCGCUUCAUAUGUGGUCCUUAUAAUGCUAUAAAUAUAUAUUGUGCUGUUUUACUAAUCACAAAAAUAAAUAAAAUCAUAUUUAGAUAAAAUAUGACAGGUUCGAGCCAAAAAAAGCCUCUCUGCUAAGCAGGGGGUGGGAUACUUCAUGCACUAGGUCACCCUUUAUGGUUGAUUGAGCUAGAUGGUUUUUUUUUAUUUUUUAUUUCCUCUCUUUCAAUGACUAUAAAUGUGGUUUUCAAAUCAUUUUUCUUUUCUUUUGCGAAUAUUUGGUGCUCAAUUAGAAGAGAAGCUCACUUUGACUGAAAUCCCUUAAUCAAUUCUUGUGUCCUCCAUGGAGCUUCCUCCCUCAAGUAUGUAUUUUUCCAACUACUUAUUCUGAGUGUUUCUUUUUUAGACGUUAUGUUGUUUCAAUGAAAGAAUGUAACACUUUGCAUUGAGGAACUAUGUUAUUCUUACUCUAUUUUGUUCAUAAAGAGAAAAUUUUUCUUGUGCAAAUUAGCAGUUAUCUAAAUGAAGUUUCAGGAUAGUACAAAUUCAAUACAAUCUAUGAUCCAAUUAUAUUACUGAAGGACCAUUUCCACUGGUUUGUCUUAAUAGCAUAUUUAUGGAUUAUGAAUAAGUUGAGCUUUACUCACAGGCCUCAUAUUGACUGCCUGCUUGGAUAUAUAUUGCUUUUUGUGCUGCCAUUGUAUCCCCUACUUGAAUAAGUUGUUAUUCUUGUUUGAUUGUUUAUGCAUGCAUGUGCUAGUGUACAUUAUUCUUUGCUAAUUUGCUUUUGCUAUAUGUGGAACUUGUUUUUCUGGAUUUUUUACGAGUAUAUGGAUCUUCAACUUUUUUUCUAGUUCUUUAGAUCUAUUUGUCUUUUUGUGUUUUUUAUUCUUAUAUAAAAUUUUGUUUCAUGUCUUUUUCUCAACGAGUCUUAGUUGGCUUCUUUCAUGGUCUACUGAAAGAUCAAGCAUUUAUCCAUAAAAAUAGUGGUCAAUUACCUUCAGACAAGUCGUUGAAAAGGUAAUAAUAGCUUACGUAUCUUUGUAUGUAUAAUUUAGCAAAACUAUAUUAGAGAAAAGCUGAAGAAAUCUGUUAAGGCAGACGUGUUGGGUUUGAUGGAGUCUAGUAAGUUGUGCAGGAAAUUUUCCUUGUCUGAUGUUAGAUUAGGCUUCUUAGCACAAGAACAGUGUACUGUGAGCAUGAGGAAAUAAAAAAGCAAUUGUAAUUGGAAGGGGGUAAUGUAUACUGUAUUGGGUUUAUAUGAUUCAUUGUUCAUAUGGAUUCUUCUGAAGAUUUAUAUAAGAAUUCUUUUAUUGAUUCGUCCUUUGGCUAUAAUUACACAGUUAUGAAUUUAAGUAGAGAUAAUCAGGUUGAGUCAUUCAUCACUCUUCCAGAUUUUUUGAGGUUUUUUUUUUUUGGCUAUUUUUCUUUGUGGGUGUAGUCUUUGCAUAUUAUUGUUAAAUUUUAAAAAUGAAGACCAAAAGUGAAAAGGACUAGAUUUUCUUGUUUGCAAUUUCUAAUUACCAAAAAUUAAAUUAUUUUCAAGUUAUUGGAUUUAUUUUGAUCAAAAAAUUUAUGGGCCUCUUAGCUUCUCUUUAUAUAUAUAUAUAUAUAUAUAUUUUUUUUUUGGGGUCAUCUCAGGAGUAGAGUAGGUUUGUGGAUGGCCUUUCACCUAAUAGUUUAGGGUAAUGUGGAUUGGCUUGUCAAUCAAGUCCAUAUUUUUUUUCUCCUCUAACUGCAUUGUGAUGAAUAAAAAAUAGAGACAUUUCUGCACAUGAUUGCAGGAGAUUUAGAAGGAGAUAAGAUAAUGAAAACCAAAGUAAGCUGAAAUUUGAAAUCAAACAUAUAUAUUCUCAUUCAACUCAGAAAGGAAAUACAGAUUUCUAAUUAAUUAAAGGGAUCUAAAAGCUGCUGAAAACAAAGAUUGAAAUUAACCCAACUGGUUAGGCAUAUAUUGAAACUUAAUCAGUUGCAUAGAGAGAUAGAUGUGCCCCUCAGCCUUGUAGUAUGGCCCUUCAGGCCUCAUUAGUCCAAAGAGCCCCUCUAUUUUUGUUGAGAGUGUGGGCAGAGCCAGCUGUAUUUUGCCCACCAAGGCCUCGCCAGUGGAGGUUCCCGGAUCAGUCUUGGGAUAGGUCCUAAUUACCUCCAGGUGCAAAAACUUACAAUCCUUUGGAUUUUCCAAUGGGAUGCAAAAUUGCCAGUCCCAUUUAGGGUCUGGUAAUCCAAAAACUUCUGGUGUCAUGCACAGGAAUCUAAUUCCUUCUACCCAAGAUUCAACCUUGUAAAUCCUAGCAGUAUUGCUCUUGGGACGGUCUAUCCCCUGAGCAUGGAAGAUGGUUAGAAGUAAAAAAAUCUUGUGAUCAUCUUCAUCUGUUCUUUUAUUUUCCUCCACUCCUGAAUUAUAACUGUCCGCAAAAUUGCUUCCAACACUUUCUUUUUGAUUGCUUCCAAUACUCUCCCAAUCAGUACUUUCUAUGCUUUCCAUUUCAGCCUGUCUGCAGGAAAAUAAACUACAUUAAUAGAGAGGGAGAAUUUUAUAUUCUUAUUUUGAUAGAACUACAGAAUUGACAUAGAAGAACCUUACACCGGUGUAUCAAGCACAAAAUAAUUUGAUAAAGAAGAAAGACGAUGAGAGGGGUGAAAUAGUUGUUUUGUCAAGGGUAUUUAUAAUCUAGUAGUCUGUGUAAUUGGAAGGUGACUAAUAAGGGCCUUAUUUUAAGUGUGUUUAUAAGCUAAAAUUGGUAAUGAUCAGAAUGGAAUUAAUGAGAGGAGAUUUCUAUUGGAACAGUAAAUCUAUGAACCAAAUACCAUAUUAAUGACAUUUGGAGAAAACAACAGCUAAAAAAGAAAAAUAGACAUGGCUUCUUUUUAAAAGUGUGUUAACAAUGCCUAAGCUAUUCUAAUGAGAUUGACAUCUCUAAAAAUUGAAAAAUGAAUAUAAGCAUAAUGAAUAAAUAAACUUAAAAUGAUAUUAGGUAACUAUCAUAGUAAAUAUUUUCAGUUUAGUGCAAAAAAAGGCAAGCAAAUCCCCAGUAAUAAAUGGUUUUAGUUGUGUGUAUCUGCUUGAAUUUUAUUUCUUAUAUUGGCAAUGUUGACUAGUUUGUCACAUAUAAAAGACAAUUGUUUCUAGAUGACACUUGUCUUUUAAUGGCGUUAAGAUAAAGUUGAAGGUUUUUUUUAUUUGAGUUUAUGAAUAUUUAGUUCUACGCGUAGAUUAAAUCAUUUCCUUUUCUUGGUAGAUUUGUUUAAUUACUAAAUUGAUUUUGAGUUCAGACAGAUUUGUUUAUGUAGCUCGUCACAAGGACUAUGAUAUGGUCCCCAAGUCUGAGAUUGAGUUACUGAUUAUGGACCAGUGGACUGAAUAAAAGGAUUGAGAACUUUUGCUCUUUCAUUUUUUUGGCCUAUGGUGAAAGAAGUUGGGCCUGUUAGUGAGAACCAUUAUUUUGCUUAAAGACAUAAUGACUAUUUUUUAUAGGUUUUUGACCCUCCCGUUACCAUUAGAUCCGUUAUUUAAGGCUGAGGAAAAUUUGUUCUUGUAACGACUGUUAUUUACUGUUAAGUAAUAGUAAUGGUCCGUUACCUCACUUUUUUUUAAGGGAAAUGGGGGAAGCAACUUAUUCUCUUUUAGAUUGGGAAGUUUUAUUUUGUUGUGUGUUAAUUAUAUAUCUACAAAUAUCUCACUUCUUUUCUCUUAAAUUAAGAUUAUUAACUAUCUUUCGAAUUCUACACAUCUGUCCCUUAUAAAAUUUGAGUUAUUUAUAUUUGUUUUAGUUUUUCUUUUUUACUUAUUUGUUAAAGAAAAUAAUAUUGGAUGCCAAGUUUUGUUUGUCAAAUUUGGAUAUGAAGAAUUAUUCUUUAUUAUGUAUAUUAUCUACAUUGUUAUUUUAGCUAUAAAGUGAUUAUUGUUAAAGAUGUUUAAUAAUGAUAGAUUGAAUGUUUUCUUUGAUACAUUGAUGCUUAUUAUUUGAUUGGGUAUCUUAGUUGUACUCAUAUAUUUAAAUGACUAUUUCGUGUGUUAUGCAAUUUUUUUAAAAAAAAUGGUCUUGCAAGCCUGUUUUCAUUACCAGCAUUUGCAACCGUAAACAUGGCCGCAACCACGAUGUAAAUCCAUAGUGAGAACCCUAGUCCUAGGAGUUGUAAGGACUCAAGCCUUUUGGUGAAAAAUAAUUCUUAUAAUUUUGUUCAUAGGCUGCUCUUUCUUACAUAUUACAAGGAAUGUCUCAUUCUUCCUAUUUAGAUGAAAAAUAGGAAUUACUGACUAUAUUCCUACUUAGACUGGGAAUCAUUAUCACUUACGAAAACAUUCAAUUUGUGGCUCACAUCAGAAUAACCCAAUAUCUUUUAUUCGAAUUGGGAAAUGGUAAGAGGACUGACUCUUCAGUGAGGACUAACCCCAAGCCAUUUACCUUUGGUUAGUUCUUAUUAUCUAUGAAAACAAUGCGUAACACCUUUUGAAAUAACAUUUGAUCUUUUAUAAUAACAUAUCAUUAUGGCAUGUUGUUAAACUAUAUGAGUUGGGGGGCCAAAAUAACAAGAAAGGCCCAUAAAAGUUCAAACUUUGUAUGCAACAUUAUUUCAUUUGGUUUGGUUUUAUUAGAUUUCCAUGUCACCAAACCAAAUCCUACCAUAGAGAUAAGAAACCAUGAACUUUGUUCUAGAUUGAAUUGAUUUGAUUCAAUUUGGUUGGAUUAGGUUGGUUGACCUCUGUGCACCUCUAAGCCUUACGAGUUUUUUACUGAUUUAGAAAGCUAAAAUAGGUAAUAAAGAGGACAGAGAGAAAUUAGAAUAAGAGGUUGAAAGAGUUGCAUUUACGUGUGCACCUGCGCAUGCACACACACACAACACAUAGGGAAACCCAACAAUCCUAUUUAAUAUAAUUGGAGUUCCUAUGUGAUAACAAUAGGUAAUUACGUAGAGAUUAAGAUAAUUACAAGAAUAAGAUAUUCUAUUCUUAUGUGUACAGUACAUUUUAUGAGCAAAUAAAAUGUAAAUGCUCAUACGUGUUGAAGCUAAGGUACCAAGAAGUAAAAUCAUUACAGCCAACUUCUUAUGCUUUUAAGAAUAGUAUUAAAAGUGUGCGACUUUUCUGAGUUUUUUAGCCUAUAAACAAAUAACUUAUCGUUUACCUUGCUUAGUUGUCUUUUAGUUAAUAGUGAUUAUUUAGUAUCCAAUGGCAUGGCAGUUGUAGCUCAUGAAUGGCAUUUUUAGGCUCGUAUGCAUAUAUGGAGGGAAAAAAAGGGGAAUUUUUGGGGUAUGGGGUUGUUGAGGUUGAUCAAGUAAAGACUGAAGUAUAAUGGAACCAAAUCAACUGAUGACUAUUGAGGAUUGAUUGUUCAGAGUAGCCGUUUGGUUCUGUAUGCACGUUCUUUAAGACCUCAAAGGUCACACAACCAACCAACAUAUUGAGUGGUUUGUAUAGGUAGGAUUUAGGUGUAAUGUUUGAUUAGCUGAAGUUUUUCUCUAUUCGGUCUUCUUUUUCCCUUCACGUUGAAGUGAGUUCAAUAUUUUGCAUGCUAAUCGGUCAUCACCCCUUUCUGCAAAUUAACACUUUAUAUUUUGGAAUAGCAUCUUCUUUACUGUAAAUAUAUUGGCAAGUUUGGUUGCAAGUAGAAGACUUGUUUACUGCUUGCAAAUAGAAGACUUUGUUUCCUGCCUAGCAUUAGCAUUCAUUCAACUGCCGAUGUCAUUUUCACCUUAAUUUCCUGACCAUGUGAUGUGGCUCUUUAAGUUUUCCGACCAUAUACAUAGAUCUAUACAUACAUACAUACAUACAAACAUACACACACAUAUAUAUAAUUAGAAUUUAGUUUAGAUUAGCCAUUAGUUCUAGACUUCAAACCACUUUACUUCAGCAGAAAGACCUAUAAGUUGACUCGUGAUGAAAAAAUAUUGUAUUCGGCUUGUUCUACACAGCUAUCUAUUAUUGUUAAUCAGUUUGUAAAAUUCAUGCUGGAUCUUAUGGUUAGAUUGUAUGUUUGAUUCCUGAAUCACAAAAGGAAGAUUUUCAUUCUUGAUUUGAAUCUCCAUUUGACAACUAUGAUUUAAAUACUUACAGUUAGGUGCUUUAGCUUGCUUCUCAAUUCUGUCUCAAUGGGGAAGAAACAGGAUGUCUAUGUGGCACCAAAGCCUUCCAUUACUAGGCCUCUUAGAUUUAACGGUGCAGAGUUUAUGCUUUCUUGUGUGCUUUCUGUGAUUAGAGCUGGAUGAUAAUUAAAAGAACCAAGUUUCAUUUGUUGCUGGAAAAUAUUUUUCAUAUUUUCUGCAUUUUUUGAUGUUUGGAGCAGAUAGAAAAAUUGAUCAAAGGAAAAUAGUUUCUAGUCAAAGAGAAAAUUAAUCCAUUUUCAAGAACAAAAAUUUAUUUUGUGGAUUUUGAAAAUCAUAUUAACCCAAUUAGUCUCUUGUUUUAACUAAAAAAGAAUUCACUUUAAAAGAUAUAGAAAUCAUGCAGAUUCAUGUUGGAUUCUGUUUUUACAAAAUUUGUUCCAGAUGAAGCCUAAAUCUUCAUUACAUAAAUUUAAUGACAUUCUUUAUUUUUUAACAUUGCAAUCAAAUAUAGAAAAUAAAUUAUUUAAUUAGAAAAUAUUUCAACUCACACAAGUUAUUUUCUCUGAAAUAAACAGAACCUAAGACUUGCACAAACUUGAGCACUACCGCCGGGAAAAACUUAUUGCAAGAAUUGUUUGUGCCUUUAUGCAUAUAUGCUAUGCAUUUGCAUGCACCUGAGUUCUUUAUAGAUGAAAUAUAUGCAUGUUCUUCUUGGUUUAAAAAUUCAUCAGGAUUGUGUGUGCUUCAAGUGGAAGGUGUUUUGGCUGAAGCUUAUGAGAAGAAAUUGUAGUGCGGACUCUAUUCCUCCAAUAAAACACUUGCCUAUCAGAUGUCUGAUGGGUAUGGAGAACUUACAGAAAUCAAGUCUGUGAGGUUGGCAAAUUAAGGUGAAAGCUCAUCUAUUAUGUACAUGGAAAUACUUGUUUCAUAAUUAUAUAUGAACAGCUUUCAUAUCUAUUGGAAGUGUGUAUAUAUAUAGUCUUUGUUUAGCUAUUUCUCCAUUUGUUUGCGGAAAAUAAUUUGCUCAUGUAAGAUGUUUGAUUUAGUGAAAUUUUACCCAUGUACUCAUAUAGUUUGGAAAAUACAUCCACCUAUUUUGAUUGAAUUU